CUUUAUGGCAGCACUCUAACUUAGUUCCGGAUGUGCCCCCAAUUCCCCCUUUUUUUCCAGACACAGCACUGAUGCCCACAGAGAUCUAUGUCGCUGUAUAUACUGAGGCUAGCCUAAUGAAAAUGAACACACAGACAGACCCCCGCCUGUGGGACCUUUUGUCUGUUGAUUUAGGCUCUAUCCACCCAUCCUUGUCCCUCUCACGGAUGUUAUUUUUGUCCUGGAAGCUUUUGUUUAUAAGCUGAGGUUUGCCACCAAGAGACAGAGGAUAGCGAUCAGUCAGACACUUUCCCUUCCAUGUCGGAUGCUCCCGACCGUGUGUCAUUGUGUCACGUGCUACUCUGUCACCAGCAGAACAUGUAAUAUGACUAUUGCUUAC